GCCAUAGCUCAUAUGUAGAGCAUCUGCUUUGUAUGCAGGAGGUCUCAGGUUCAAUCACUGGCAUCUCCA